GGAGGAGGUCCUCACCCACUUUCCCUGGAACGGUCAUCAGGUAGCGGAUGGCUCCAGGGCUAAGGGAGGAGAGAGCCAGAGGCAUGCGGCUGGGACACAGAGAACAUCUGAAGGCCAAUCCUGACCCUCCCGCCUGGAUGGACAGGGCUUGACCUCGACACUUCCCAAGCGCCUCAGGACCCCUGACUACCGCUGGGAUCACAGGUGGACCCCUGGCCUCCAUGAAGGCGCCUGCGCACAGGAGGCAGAGAAGGAAGGUGCGUGCUUAUGGCUGGACCCACAGAAGCCCAGCUCUGACAGGACGGCUUCUUUCUUACCCAGAUGGAUGCAGCAAACGCGCAAAUCCACACAAUGGAAUAGUCUUCGGCGGUAAAAAGCAAUCAGCACCGACGCCUGUGGCAACAUGGAUGAACCUUGGAAACAUCGAGGCUCCGUGAGGUGCCCAGACUCCACACUCGGCACGUGGUAUGACUCCGUUUACGUGAAAUUGUUCGCAACAGGCAAACCCAUAAUGGCAGAAAGGAGAUGGCUGGGUACCAGGGCUGGGGACAGGCAAACAGGGGAAGACUGCUAGUGGGUGCAGGGUUUCCCACUGGGGUGAUAAAAACGGUGGCCAUGACUGCAAAACACUGUGAAUGUAUUCCAUGUCACUAAUGGUAAGUUC